rnacentral:lncRNA from 1 species
AAGCAAUCUUUCUGCCUUGGCCUCCCAAAGCACUGGGGUUACAGGCAUGAGCCACCAUGCCUGGCCCCAUGUCCUGUUUCUAAACUAAUAAUUAGCAAGGUAAGGCAAAAACGGUCCUUUUACCUGUAUUUGAGCUCACAUCUACGGAGGCUUCAACAGAACAAUUCCAUGUCCUAUUUUUGGAAGAAAGCUCCAAUUUCUAGCCCUAGUUUUCAGUGUUGUGGAGUAGUUUUAUUUCCUGUCUUUCGUAUUUUUUUUUUAAAAAAAGCUUCUCCAACAUUUUAGUUGCAAUCUGAGACAGUCUGUUUCAGAGACAAAAUUUUACAGCCAGAUGCUCCAGUGUGAGCCGCUGCAGUUUGUUUCUAAGGAUGAUCAGUAACGAAUGGGGAAUGCUUGUCAUUUGCUCAAAUAUUGUGAAGUCUUGUCUUUUCUUGGGCACAUGCACACUUUUAUAGGCAAGGUUUCAUCCAUCCGUAAUGCCUGCUGGGACAACUGGGAGAACAGGUCAGUCAUUUGCAGAAACAGACCUAAAACCCUAAGGCCUAGGAGCCAUCACAGCCCCCACCCCAUCUGGACAUUAACAAGACACACAGGGUGGGGAAAGAAGGCAAAUGGGAGUGCAGUGGAGUCAGGAGAUAGGCAACUCUGGGCCUCCACUUCCGUGGGGGAUUUUAAUAAUCUCCCUGGAGUCACAGUGGGUUGUUAUAAGGAGGCAGAGGGAAGGUAGGAUGGUUCUGAUACAGAAAAUAGCUCCUCAGUGGGACAGGGGAGAUGACAGCAGAGAAGCUUUCAACCACCUUUUUUUUUGUGAUGCCACAAGUCUCUGCAGCUCACCUGUAUAGCGCUAUUGCUCUAUUCCACGUGACAAAACAUGAGUCACCUGCUCAAUUAGUUUCAUUCAGUCCAUUAUCCCUAUAGCUAGGGAGAGCUCUCUCCCAUAAACUGGCAAAUCAUUGUUCAAUAUAUUUAAUCUUAAUAUGGUUGAUCCUUCCUUUUCUUUCUUUUUACCUCUCUUCCUCUCUCCAUCCUUCUUAUUCAUCCAUCCACCUAUCUAUCCAUCCAUUUACCUGAAGGUAUGUUGACCAUCUACUUUGUGUCAGGUACUAUUCCAAGCACUUAAUAUACAAUAUCUGAUUAAAUUUUAACAAUACCCUGGAAGUUAGCUCUUAAUAUUCUUUAUGAAUAUUAUAUGAGGUUUAGAGAGUUUAUGUGUCUUGUCCAAGAUUCAGCAAAAUUCAGCCCAUGGGCUAAAUUCAACCUAUUUUUGUAAAUAAAGUUUAGUUGGAACAUAUCCAUGCCCAUUUGUUUACGUAUGACACAAUUUCAGCAGAGUGGAGUAGUUACAACAGAGACCAUUUGGUCCACAAAUGCUAACAUAUUUACUAACUGGCCCUUAACUGAAAAAGUUUGCCAACCCCUGUUCUUGCCCAGUAAUACUUAGCAAGAAAGUAGCAGAGUCAAAGAUUCAAACCCAGAUCUAUUUAACUCAAAAGGCCAUAAUUCUUCAAUGCUGUGUCAUGCAACAGAAGUAUGUGAGUUUUGUCUACAUGACUUCUUGACACCUAGGGUGAGAUGGCCAGGCUAGAUUUAUGGUAAGAGGAACAGAUCUGACAUAUAUUACUUAGUAAGUAGCCAAUUACUGUGGAAGACUCUCUUCAUUUGUAAGAAAAGCCAGUGAGGAUGCUUUUUUUUUUUUUCCUGGUGAAGUAAUUAUAGAGACGAGUGUUGAUGCAUGUUUUGACUUUGCUGCAAAAGUAGUUCUGUCUUCUCCAGUUUAAGUAAUUACAUUAGUUUCUAAAUAGAGCAGAUGGAACUAUAGUUGUCAAAGAAUGCAAAGAUCAGUCAACUGCAUUUAUGGUGUGACAUUCUAAGCAGAGAUACCGCAAAGUAUCUUGUGCAAAACCAACUAGGUGAGUGCUAUUGAGCACCUGUGAGCCAGAAGAAAACAGGAGAAAAAUGUGGCUAAAUGGAAAUGGAAAUUUCUACACAAUGGGAUCUGGUGGCAAACACAUUUUCCUACCAUAAUGCCCCAACAAUUGCUUGUUUUCUAAUGUUGCCUGGUUGGGGGAAGAUAUAUUCUGAGUGUUCCUCCAAACUUGUAGAACUCAAUUUUUCUGGGGGAGAGGGUUGUCCUAAGAUGGUCUGCUUGGUACUCAGAGUGCAAAGAUGUCUCCUGCAAGAAGCAAGCAGCUUAUGAAGGAAGCAAUGACUUAAAGCAGACACGUUACCUCUAAAGAACAGGGAGAAGAUCAAAUCCAGAACCAGGCAGUAGUAAUAAGGGAACUGACCUGGCAAUAGGCCAAGGAUCCAAACGACAUGGGAACCAGGCAUGAUUCAAAACAGCCACUGCUGAACACCUACACCAAUGGGGGGAAAAAUGAUACUCUUAGCGUUAGAGUCCACAACUGCUACAGAGUCUCAGCUGUGAUUUCUACUGCCGGGUGUCCCCAUAGAAGUCUGCAUCCCAACCCCUGAGACCUGUGAAUAUGUUACCUUACUUAGCAAAAGGGACUUUGCAGAUAUAAUUAAGCUAAAGAUCUUGAGAUGGGGAGAUUAUUCUUCAUUUUUUGGGUGGGCUCAGUGUAAUCACAAGUGUCCUUGUAAAUGAAAGUGGGAGGUAAGAGGGUCAGAGUCAGAGAGAGAUGUCAAGAUGCUACACUGCUACCUUUGAAGAUAGAGGAAGGGGCCAUGAGCCAAGCAGUGCAGACAGCUUCUAGGAGCUAGAAAAAGUCAGCCGACAGAUUCUGUCCCAGAACCUCUAGAACCAACACAUCCAGGCAACACCUUGAUUUUAGCCCAGUGAAACCCAUUUCAGACAUCUGACUCCCAGAAGGCCAGAAGAUAAUAAAUUUGUGUGGUUUCAAGCCACUAUGUCUAUGGUAAUUUGUUAUAGCAGCAAUGAUAAACUAAUACAACAGCCCUGACUUGGGGGGAGGGUAAAGGAAAGAGCCACACACCACCACCCUCUCACCAUGGGAGGAAUAGUUGAAAUGAACACAUGACUUCAGGUCCCCAACAAAGAGCUGAAUGGGUUUCAGGCUAGCUUGCUAAUUCAUUCACCAAUUCUCAGCUCUGGUGUUGCUUGAUUCAGAAGGUAAAGACAAUUUUUAAAUUUCCUUAAUUUCAAAACUUAAUUCAUCCAAUGCAUUUAAUUUAAAAUCAUACAUUAUUUAUCCACAAAUCCUGAUACACAGGGAAAGAAACAGAAAUAUUUGCUGGACAGGUGGCAUGGAAACAAAGGGUUAUUAGCGAUUGCCAUGCAGGCCUAAGUGAAUUCACAAUGACCAUCAUGACAUCAUGUCUGUUGUUACUAUCAAGAGCGUUGCUCUUGGAUAAGUAUCAAUAACCUCAGAACUAUGGAAAGAACCAUGUGUGGAGUUUGGCACCACAGAUAUUCUCUGAGUGAUUGAAGUCUCUUCUACCAUGAGGCCUUGAAAGCUCCAUGAUAGAGAUGACAGAGCUAUAAGAUGAAAGCAGCCCAAAUCCCUGAGUCACCAAUGUUUGAAGAAGAGCUUCCCAGGAGAGGUACCAGACCCACAUGAGACUUCACAUGAUUAUAAAAUGAACUUCUAUUGUGUUGAAUCUCUGAACUUCAGGGUUGUUUUGCAGCACAGACUACAUUAUAGUGACAAGUAGAGGAAGGUACAGUAAAAGCCUUGCCAUCACUCCCAUUAUACAGAGGAAGAAACUGAGACCUAGAGAAGUUCAGAACCUUGCUACAUCAAUCAGAAGUACAAGCCAAGGCUCAUGAAGUGGUUUCCUUAUUUUCUCACCCCAAGUUAGUAAGUCUGUAACUUCUCCUUCACAGUGCAAUUUGUCACGCAGUCUAUGGCACUGUAGAAUUUGGCUAUAGAUCCCUAAGUCAGAAAAGUCCAUGUUUGGAGAACUACUAGUAAGUCAAGACAGAGGAGUGUGACAAAGGCUGACAAAACCCUACCUGCAGCCUGGAGGUCACAGGCAGCCUGCUUUUUGAGUCUCCCUGAAUGGAGGGGAAGGGGCUCUCCCUGAGGGAAUGUGCUCAACUCUGGGUCGUGUGGAAGAGUUAGGAAGUUAACACUCCAUGAGCGACCCUCAUCCAAUGUCGGCUGGGAAUGGGUGGAUAAAUACCCUAACUUUCUAAGGUAUAUGUGUGUCCAGCAGGGCCUCCAGUGGGGAUGAACCACAGUUGGCCACAAUGGUAACCUGCCCAUUAACACACCCUUCAUUGGUCUUUAUUCCCUUCCCUGAGCCUUCACUGUGUUUUCAGGGAUCACCUCCGAAGGAAAUGACUUACACCCAAAUCAGGAUCUGUUUUUGAGGGAACCCAACAUAACACAUGGAGAGAUGGGUUUCCUAUGAAGAAGGAAAUAUGGGCUGUAAAAUACCACGGAGAGUCAGAGUUCAAUUUCUCAGACAUUCACUUUACCCGGAAGUCCAGCUGUGACAGCUAAUAGAUGAAACCAUCCAAUUUGCAAGUUCCCCUGAGUCUCUGCUGUAAAAUCAGCCUGAUCCUCAGGAAGUUCCACACCUAGGUCUCCACUCUCAGCCCUAUGACCUCACCUCCACAGACUCUGCACUUGAGCAUUCCACCCUCAGCGCUUGUGAAAGGAGUCAUGGGAGACACAAGGCUGGAGGAUGUGUCUGCAUCUUCAGAAACCCGCUAACAGGGACAGCGUCUGUGAUACCGGCUGACGCUCAUUAAACCAAGGCUCUAGUAGCCUGUUCCUCUCAGAUUUCAGAACUAAAAGAACAGUCUGGUUAUCCUGACUUCUUCUUUUAUCAUAAGAUGCUGCAAGUCGAAUCUACAGCAGUCAGGGUUAAGAGAAAUCAUUAAGUAAUAACAAAGUCAGGAGUUUCUUCUCUGAGGUAAGCUUUGCUGGAAAUUUCUCGUCCCUACUCAAGAUGGCAACCAAGGACACUUUGGAGAUAGCAGCUUAGAAAUGGCCCUGAAGUGGGUCUUUCCUUAGACUUUAGGUGAAAACACUUUCCCCUGAUCCUCUGGGGAAACGGCUCCCCUGAGGUUGUCUGGGGUUUUUACAGAGCUCUUCUAAAGACCCUGGGCCUUGGGGCAUGCUGUUUAAUUUACUGGGUUAUUGGCUGUCAUAUUGAAGACAAAUGCAUCCAAGGAAAAAAUGGCUCAAGAAGAACAGACUCCUCCAUCACUUCAAUCAAGGGGUCCUUCACGAACAUGCUUCAUUAACAGCAAAAAGGGCUGUUGGGGUGCUUUGUCCUUACUCUACAUCCCCCUCUCAGCUCUGCAAGACUACUGCUGUCCUCCCAGCAAACCAAGCCCGGCAGAGAGAGAAGCCAUCACAGGAACACAGUUGGCCUCAGCAGCCUGAUGCUCUCAAGGAAUGUGUUGAAUCACUACACAGAUAAUCAGAAGGCAGCUGCUAAGGUUCAGAAGAGAAACAGCAGGUUCUAUCAUUAAGUGAGAAGCUGCCCACAUGAAGAGUUGCCCUAGGCCCCCGAAUGUGACUAAAACACAGCCCAAGAAGGCCGCUACAGCUGCAAUUCCAUGCCUGUGCUGAGGCCCCUGCGUGUCUAGCGCCACUGUACUCUUCGACUCCAAGGUGUACCAUUCAUGUGGAAGGCUAUGUAAAUCAUGCUUCUUGGAGGGAGGCCAGGCCACAGCCCUGCAGGUGGGCACAUCCUGUAUCAGUCCAUUCUCAUGUUACUGAUAAAGACAUACCUAAGAGUGGGUAAUUUCUAAAGGAAAGGGGAU